AUGUCAAAUUUACAAUUUUUGGUCAUGGCAAAAUUCUCCUUUUAUUUUCCAUGCCAAAAUAAAGAAAAAUUAUGGAGCAUGGCAAAUUUAGCUUUCUACUUGCCAUGUCAACUUUUACUUUAUUUCGCCAUGGCAAUUUUUAACCUUCAUUGCCAUGGCAAUUUUACAGUUAAAUACUUGGCAAAUUUACUAUCUACAUACAUGGGAAAUUUUACUCUAUUUUUGUCAUGUCAUAAUUUUACUUUACUUUUUCAUGGCAAAAUUUUAACUUUAUUGCCAUGGCAAUUUUACUGGAACAUACAUGGCAAUUUUCACUGUACUUUGCCACGUCAAAAAAUUACUAUAUUUUUUGCCAUGGCAAUUUUACCUUAA
rnacentral:rRNA from 1 species